rnacentral:lncRNA from 1 species
AUUCAUUAGUCAAAUUCUUCGAUCGAUCUUUUUGAGAAGGAGAGGCCCUAGCCAUAAGAACAACUCUGAAGAAGACAAAGACUUUAGAGGAAAGAGUAAAGGAUUCGAAAGAAAGACGAAGUUGACAAGAAAGUUGAGUGCGAUAACCUUGGGUGUUGGGGCAAUAAUCUGGCAGAGUUCCAGCAUCAAAAACAGUGAAAAGUAAAAAUUUGGCUGAGAGUGAUCCUAUAUAUAUAGGAUCCCUGAACAGUCGAGAUGAAGGCGGUCAAAUCAAAAAUCUACCAGAUGACGAUACGUGACAACAUCUGGACCAACCAU